GUGCUCACUUCAGCAGCACAUAUACUAAAAUUGGAAUGAUAAAGAGAAGAUUAGCAUGGCCCCUGCAAAAAUGGAGAACAUGGUCAAAAUCCACAAAGAAACAAACAGUAGUU
rnacentral:snRNA from 1 species